rnacentral:piRNA from 1 species
UUGUUUUGUGGUGCUGAAAAU